rnacentral:rRNA from 1 species
GAUGAACGCUGGCGGCGUGCUUAACACAUGCAAGUCGAACGGAGAUAUCAUUUUCAAAGCAAUUAGUUUACUAAGAGUGGAGGAGAUGAUAUCUUAGUGGCGGACGGGUGAGUAACGCGUGGGUAACCUGCCUUACACUGGGGGAUAACACUUAGAAAUAGGUGCUAAUACCGCAUAAUGAGAGGAGACGCAUGUCUUCUGUCUGAAAACUCCGGUGGUGUAAGAUGGACCCGCGUCUGAUUAGCCAGUUGGCGGGGUAACGGCCCACCAAAGCGACGAUCAGUAGCCGGCCUGAGAGGGUGAACGGCCACAUUGGGACUGAGACACGGCCCAA